rnacentral:rRNA from 1 species
UGGAGCAUGUGGUUUAAUUCGAUGCAACGCGAAGAACCUUACCUACUCUUGACAUCCAGAGAAUUUGCUAGAGAUAGCUUAGUGCCUUCGGGAACUCUGAGACAGGUGCUGCAUGGCUGUCGUCAGCUCGUGUUGUGAAAAUGUUGGGUUAAGUCCCGCAACGAGCGCAACCCUUAUCCUUUGUUGCCAGCGAGUAAUGUCGGGAACUCAAAGGAGACUGCCGGUGAUAAACCGGAGGAAGGUGGGAUGACGUCAAGUCAUCAUGGCCCUUACGAGUAGGGCUACACACGUGCUACAAUGGCAUAUACAAAGAGAAGCGAACUCGCGAGAGCAAGCGGACCUCAUAAAGUAUGUCGUAGUCCGGAUUGGAGUCUGCAACUCGACUCCAUGAAGUCGGAAUCGCUAGUAAUCGUAGAUCAGAAUGCUACGGUGAAUACGUUCCCGGGCCUU